GAUGAACGCUGGCGGCGUGCCUAAUACAUGCAAGUCGAGCGAACGGACGAGAAGCUUGCUUCUCUGAUGUUAGCGGCGGACGGGUGAGUAACACGUGGAUAACCUACCUAUAAGACUGGGAUAACUUCGGGAAACCGGAGCUAAUACCGGAUAAUAUUUUGAACCGCAUGGUUCAAAAGUGAAGGACGGUCUUGCUGUCACUUAUAGAUGGAUCCGCGCUGCAUUAGCUAGUUGGUAAGGUAACGGCUUACCAAGGCAACGAUGCAUAGCCGACCUGAGAAGGUGAUCGGCCACACUGGAACUGAGACACGGUCCAGACUCCUACGGGAGGCAGCAGUAGGGAAUCUUCCGCAAUGGGCGAAAGCCUGACGGAGCAACGCCGCGUGAGUGAUGAUGGUCUUCGGAUCGUAAAACUCUGUUAUUAGGGAAGAACAUAUGUGUAAGUAACUGUGCACAUCUUGACGGUACCUAAUCAGAAAGCCACGGCUAACUACGUG
rnacentral:rRNA from 1 species